AGGUUUCCUUUCGCAGGGACUUUGUGAAAUCGUGCUCGUUUGGCUAAUUCCGUUGGCGUAAUUUGCUCGCCUAUGAAUGCGCCAUUCCGUGUUGAAAGAACUUCACUCUUCCUCGCAACUUGGACAUAAGUAUCCACCUCCCUCUGCACGCCACCACCGAAACUGUCGCUCUCCAUCUUCUUAACUAUCGCAUGUUCCACAGCUUCAAUUGAACCUCACCUUUGCGAUGUUGCAAUUCUUUGCAUGAUCGAAACUUGGAUUAGUGCGUAGCAUCGUCUUGCGUAGCUCAGAGCUCUUGUCCUGCACUUGUGCAAUGUUUUGAUGCCCGUCGUUCUGGUAGGAAAAUUGCAUGCUCUGAUGCCUCCGGCGUGAUUGGUUGGUGAAGCUCGAUAGUUUGUCAAGCAUUGGUCCAUGGUGGGGUAAAUGUUGCGUGUGUCUGAAGCAGGUGAUUCAUAGCCAUUUUACUUGGAAAUAUCGCUGUAGCUUGUCGAUUUGUGACCCGUGGUCGGAGAGUUUUGUUCAGAAGGAUUGGAGUGUAUAAAUCGAGAGGUGGAGCAGGGCAUGUGGGAAGCUAGCAAUGCAUUGCGGGAGUGGUCGCUGCGUUCUUGAGAGCUGCACUAGUUUUGUCAGGGAUAGGAGCACUUUAAGCGAUGGGAGGAGUGGGAUUGUUCUUGGCAGUUCGCAGUCGGAUCACGUUAGAACGGCGAUGGCGAUGGGUUUAUUAAGAGGGAGAAAUGUCUCUCUUCGGAGACGGGCUAUAAAACGCAUUGUAUGCGAUGACGGCUCCUCCAGAAGGAUUUCUUACAAGAGGGGGCAACAACCGCCUUCUAAAGGCUUCCCGUCUACGCAUGAUGCUGAUGUCUUGGAUGCUCACAGAAAUCACCACGACAGGCAGAAGGCGCGCGCCUUCGAGUUUUCAUGCGAGAAUGAGGACACGUCUUCGAUCAAUCGGAGCUUUAAUCUUCCACGCAAUCUUGUUUCUGAUGGAAGCUGGUCAUCGCGGAUCCUUAUGCAGAUUCAAGUAGAUCUUCUGUGGUUGUCGCUGCACAAUACCCCGUCUCGUUUUGAAGAUUUCCUACGUCCUAUAUUGACAGGACGAGGUCGAGGUUGGUCCAAGAUGUCCUCGAAACCAUUUGAGCUCCAGGACAUUUACACAUUCGAUGCCACCCGAAAUUCUGCUCGAGGCACGCAUGAACUAUGCACAUCAUACAAUGAAACCGAAAGCACGAGUAAUUGUGCUCGUACAUUAGCGGCUGCUGUAGAUUUACGAAAAAGAGAGCUAGCGGAUGGUGCUCAGUGGGAGAUCGACUCGUCCUCAUCAAGGAGAAGCCUGACUAGAAAACCCGAGAGACUAAUGCAGGUCUUUACGAAUCAAGCCAUGGAUGGAAUUGGAAAUCUGGACUUUUUCCGGUGGCUGCAACGCCUUAAAGAUACCUAUGGUGCUUCUUUCAUGUUUGUUGUUGUGCUCGGAUACUGUACGCAAGGAUUCCGAUGCUUUCCGUGGCUGGCCAUGUGUUACUUCUUCAAAGACAAUCUGCAGGUGGAUCCCGGCACGAUGCAGUUCUUGAUGUCCACGACGAUGUUGCCGAUGUUGGCGAAGCCUCUGUAUGGUAUCAUAUCUGAUUCCAUCUACAUUCAAGGAGCUCAUCGAAUUCCUUAUCUCAGUAUUGCAGCUGCUUUGCAAGUGGUCGCUUGGGGAGCUAUAGUGAUGCAUCCUGGUGUAUCCUCCUCAGUAGCCGUCUUAACUGGCGUCUUGACUAUGAGUAACAUGGGAGCUGCAAUAUCAGAAGUUACGAAUGAUGCUCUCGUGGCAGAAGCUGUUAAGAGUAAGCAAGGCGCUGGCCAAGGUGAAUUGCAAUCACUGGCUUGGCUGGCUUUGGCGGCUGGAGGUCUUCUCGGGAAUCUGAUGGGAGGCUUCGCAUUGCAGCGGAUAGAUGCAACAACCAUGUUUUCAAUUUUCAUGAUGCUCGUGGGUGCUCAGCUUCUCCUAUGCACCACAACUAGUGAGAACUCAUUCGGUUUCGGCCAUCCGCAAGUUUCAAACACUGGAGCUCUGUUACCCAGCCUUCCCUUCAAAGCCAGAGCCGUCCUGCUGCCUCCAAAGACGAAGAGAAUCUACUCCAAGUUUGGUUACACAGUCGACGACAUCUACAACCGAGAACAAACCUCAGAUGUUGCACAUGUGGAGUGUUUAAAUCUCUCACAGACUGAUGGAAACAAGCCACAAACUUUGAGCAUGCAGGGCCAACUCUCACUUCUCUCGGACGUGCUGAAAAAACCAGCAGUUCUUGGUCCACUUCUGUGGUUCCUCUCCUCGUACGCUGUCAUCCCAAACUUAGGCAGUUCUAUGUUCUUCUACCAAACCCAGCAUCUAGGACUUGACUCGUCUGUCAUCGGCCUUGUCAAAGUUGUUGGCCAAGCGGGUCUCCUGGGAGGAAGUAUCUUGUACAACCGAAGCCUGAAGAAAGUACCUAUCCGGAAGCUCUUCGUUGGCAUCCAAGUGCUCUUGUCUCUGUGCAUGGUUUCGGAUAUUGUCCUUGUCAACAGAGUGAACUUGCAGAUGGGUGUCCCGGAUGAAUAUUUUGUCCUUGGAGCUUCUGCUUUUAUUGAAGCUAUUGCCCAAUUCAAGAUCUUGCCAUUUAUGGUCUUGUUGAGCCAGUUAUGCCCGGCUGGGAGUGAAGGAUCGCUGCUUGCCUUUUUUAUGUCAGCGCAAUGUCUUGCAGGGUUGACGAGUGCUUAUCUUGGAGUUGGCCUUGCUUCUUUGCUUCAUAUAUCGGCGAACUCUUUUGAGGAGCUUCCUCUUGGGAUUCUUAUCGAGGCAGGAUUUGCUCUACUUCCUGUUAUGUGGAUCAACAUUAUUCCUGAAGAAGCGGAAGCUGCUGCAACUGAAGGUUCAGCAGGACAGCUUCCUGAUUCAACCAGCAGAGAUACUGCUGGUUGAAUCGAGGACAUUCCGCUGUGUAUACUAGUUCAAAUCUGUCGACAUGAUUUUUCACUACACCAAAAUUUCCAGUAGACCACAUAGACAUACAACUUUCACGGUGAACACUCUCCCCCGACCUGGUGGAUCGUCAGCUGAUGUCGAACCGACGUUCUCAUGUGGGAUUUCUAUGACGACUCUCUGGUGCCCGAGUUGCUCCAGCUUCUGUUGCAAUGGAUGGUUUUUCAGCUUCCAAUUGAGCAUUUCCACCAUGUUAUGCAAUGACGCAGCAAUGGACAAAAUAUUCUGCGAAGUGGCUGCUACUUUCUGCUCGUCAUUUGCUAUGUGCUGAUGCCAUGACAGUAUUCAUUGGGUUGUCACGGCGGCAUUCAAGUUUUGUGACCGAUCUGAAGGAUGUAAAUGAUUUGAUUUUGCGGUUAGUUGCGCAGUGAGUUGGCUGAGUAUCAAAUUCCUAUGUAGAGCAUUCUUCACAAUGGGCAUAGUGCUGUGGUGGUAUUGGUUGUCUAUUAAAUACCACGAAUGCAAAAUUUUGUUUAUUUAUUUAAUUCUUAGAAUUAAGAGGGCUUCGCUUGGAAGCAAAUUUAGUUGUAGAUAGUCCUGAAUAGCAACAAUCGUACUUCUGCUUUCAUGAACAAAGCUAAUAAUUAAAUAGGGGUUGCUUGCCUUAUGACGACGAAAGUGAUGACGACGCUGUCUACAUACAGAAAGAGAUGAAACACAGAUUUGCGAGCAGUUACAAUGGAGUAUUUGAAAAAGCCCAAGCUUGAUAUUGGUGGUUUAAGUAUCAACGUGUCACCUGUUCUGCUCAAUAUUGUCAUGCUUCAUCGAAGAUACUCCAGGUACGAAAACCUAACUAGUAGGGACGAAGUACUAAGACAAACCCUCUCCGUGUAAUGUGUGGCAUCUCCUUGUUUGUGCAACUACUAUACAAUGUUGGAAACAUGAAAGCCUUGGCCUGAAUGUGCCUCGUGUGAAUCUUUGGGGCUAAAACUGUAAAACUGUAUUGUAGGGUAGCAGAUUCUUUCCCUUAAGUCGAGUAUGAUAUCUAUUAAUGUUGACAUGAACUACAAGAGAGAGAGAGAGAGAGAGAGAGAGAGAGAUCAUAUCUGGGGUGCACUGUAAGGUAGAAUUUGAAGCAUGAAUGCUACUGAUGUCCAAGCUGUGUGCACAAACCUCUUAGUUUCAGUCCAUCAUCGAAAGUUGUUUCUCUGUAGGAUUUUACAUUAACGUACAUAUAUAUGUAGAGUUGGGUCAGUGUCAUAUGGAAAUCUGCAGGUUGAGGGUUGCAACUCCUGCAACUUCAACCAAAAUGUAUAACUAUAGACAUAGUUAAUCUCUCUGAAAUUAGAAAAAUAUCAGAAAUUGAAGUGAGUAUGUCUCUGUUUCCUUGAAAGAUGCAAAAAUUUAAACAAAUCCUCCAUAAAUUAUGGAAUGUUGACAAUU